rnacentral:rRNA from 1 species
AGAACGAACGCUGGCGGCAGGCUUAACACAUGCAAGUCGAACGCCGUAGCAAUACGGAGUGGCAGACGGGUGAGUAACGCGUGGGAACAUACCCUUCGGUUCGGAAUAACUCAGGGAAACUUGAGCUAAUACCGGAUACGUCCGAGGUUUUAAUCGACCUUGGAGAAAGAUUUAUCGCCGGAGGAUUGGCCCGCGUCUGAUUAGCUUGUUGGUGAGGUAAUGGCUCACCAAGGCGACGAUCAGUAGCUGGUCUGAGAGGAUGAUCAGCCACAUUGGGACUGAGACACGGCCCAAACUCCUACGGGAGGCAGCAGUGGGGAAUAUUGGACAAUGGGCGAAAGCCUGAUCCAGCCAUGCCGCGUGAGUGAUGAAGGCCUUAGGGUUGUAAAGCUCUUUACCCGGGAAGAUAAUGACGGUACCGGGAGAAUAAGCCCGGCUAACUUCGUGCCAGCAGCCGC